rnacentral:rRNA from 1 species
GAUGAACGCUAGCGGCAGGCCUAAUACAUGCCAGUCGGACGGGAUCCAUUGAUAGCUUGCUCUCAAUGGUGAGAGUGGCGCACGGGUGCGUAACGCGUGAGCAACCUGCCUCCAUCAGGGGGAUAGCCUCUCGAAAGAGAGAUUAACACCGCAUAAUAUCAACAGUUCGCAUGUUCAGUUGAUUAAAUAUUUAUAGGAUGGAGAUGGGCUCGCGUGACAUUAGCUAGUUGGUAGGGUAACGGCUUACCAAGGCGACGAUGUCUAGGGGCUCUGAGAGGAGAAUCCCCCACACUGGUACUGAGACACGGACCAGACUCCUACGGGAGGCAGCAGUAAGGAAUAUUGGUCAAUGGGCGGAAGCCUGAACCAGCCAUGCCGCGUGCAGGAUGACUGCCCUAUGGGUUGUAAACUGCUUUUGUCCAGGAAUAAACCUAAAUACGAGUAUUUAGCUGAAUGUACUGGAAGAAUAAGGAUCGGCUAACUCCGUG